UGCCACAUCAGUCAGUGUCAGUGAGCAGCAUGACACUACUUUAACCCUGUGCAGGCACCUUGUGGGGCCAGAGCUGCUAGCACUAAGGUGCCCCGACAAGGCAAGGCA